CCUACGGGAGACAGCAGUGAGGAAUAUUGGUCAAUGGGCGCGAGCCUGAACCAGCCAAGUCGCGUGAGGGAAGACGGUCCUAUGGAUUGUAAACCUCUUUUGUCGGGGAGCAACAGCCGCCCCGCGUGGCGUUCUGCGAGUACCCGACGAAAAAGCAUCGGCUAACUCCGUGCCAGCAGCCGCGGUAAUACGGAGGAUCCGCGCGUUAUCCGGAUUUAUUGGGUUUAAAGGGUGCGCAGGCGGAAGAUCAAGUCAGCGGUAAAAUUGAGAGGCUCAACCUCUUCGAGCCGUUGAAACUGGUUGUCUGGAGUGAGCGAGAGGUAUGCGGAAUGCGUGGUGUAGCGGUGAAAUGCAUAGAUAUCACGCAGAACUCCGAUUGCGAAGGCAGCAUACCGGCGCGCAACUGACGCUCAGGCACGAAAGUGUGGGUAUCGAACAGGAUUAGAUACCCGAGUAGUC
rnacentral:rRNA from 1 species